GCCCGUGUGCCCUUCUAAAAUGUUUCAUGUGAAACAGUCUUAUCAAUACAGCCACCCCGGAGGGCAGGGCCUGUGUCUUACUCAUUUCUCUUUCCCUCACAGAGCUUAGAGCAGUGCUGACAAUGUGGUAAGUACCUCACAUGAAGGUAGAGAGAGAUGAAUUGUCUCAGCCUCAAGCCCUCCCUUUUCUGCACAACCAAGGUGUGAAUUCUUUGAUGACCAGCUGGAGUUAGGGGGCAUCACAGUGAAGCACAGAGCCCCCAUGGAAAUCAACAAAUAUCUAUCAUCAUCAUCAUCAUCCUUGAAUAUUCCUUAUCCCCAGAACCGUUAGGAGUGCUGAAGAGCCCUCUCCCCAUUCGUAGUUUGUUCAUGCUGGUGGUAGGGGCGGGAGAUGGAUGUCUGGGUUCAUGAGAAGCAGAACCUGAGACGAGGAUUUGGCACACACGAUUGAUUAGGGCAGUGCUCUCAGGACUGAGGGAAGCAGGCCCAGCCAGGAAGGAGGUCAGCAAGGAAGGAGAUUAUCUCGCUGGAGUCCAGUCUCAGCCUUGUCCUGGGGGGAGCCCUGGAGCACACGCAUGGCAAAAUCAGCUCCAACUUGGGGUAGCAGUAGAGUGACCAACUGUCCUGGUUUGCCUGGGACUGUCCCAGCUUUAGCAAUGAAAGUCCCUCAUACCAGGAAACCCCUCAGUUCUGGGCAAAUACUUACUGUAAGAGGCCCAGCUUCUGUAUCCCAAGUCACUAGUCAUUGGCGUUGGGCUGCUCCCCAGCAGGAGAGGAGCCUUUAAAGCUCCCAGGCCGGGAGGUGCUCCUUUACCCUGAGGGCAGGUCUCUGGAGAAGGGGAGAGGGUGCCCCAGCCCAGUAAAGGGGGUGGGGGAUCUCUAAUGGCAUCCACCACCCCAGACGAGCCCCCACAGAGCCUCUCUCUGCCUUGCCCUGCAUGGUUGGGAAGCAGCACUAAGCACAGGCCAUUCCACCGGCACCCCCCACCUCAACCCCCGCAGUUGGGGAUGGGCCCACAGAGCUCAGCCUCCCUCAGGACCCCGCCCUGGGCUGAUUCUGAGAACACCUAAUAGGUUUCCUACAAACCCUGUUGGCUUCCUGGUUGUUUGUGACUCAAUUAAAUUAACAAAUUGGUCUCUUUGCCCAGAGUCUUUCCACCGCCUGUAUUUCAGCAUAUGUCAGUCAGGGCGGCCCAGCGUCUCCAGAUGGCUUCGAGCUCCCUCUACAUAUCCGAUGCCAGCUCAUCACUGGAGAAGUGUGUGUGUGUGUGGGGAGAGUCCCAGAGACAGAGACAUAAAGCCACAGUGGGGAGAGACGGAAAUGAGGUAGGCAAGACAGAAAGAAUGAGAGGGAGGAAGAGGGAAGGGACAGAAGGCAGGAGAGCCUAGAUUCUUCCUCCUAGUCUAGAAGGACCCUCACCUUCGGGGCUGGGCCUGUGGCCAAGUGGUUAAGGUUCCACACUUUCUGCUUGGGAGGCCUGGGUUCACAGGUUCAGAUCCCAGAUGCGGCCCUACUCCACUCAUCAGCCAUGCUGUGGAGGCAUCCCACAUACAAAGUAGAGGAAGAUGGGCACAGAUGUUAGUUCAGGGCUAAUAUUCCUCAAAUGAAAAGAUAAAAAAAAUAAAAGGACCCUAACCUUCCUGCAGGGAGGGUCUCUCCUCCACGAGGUUGGUGGGGGGUGUCUGAAGAAGACUCUCUCAGCCUCGAGUUCUCUGGCAGACAGUGAAAUUGGUGGUUCUCAAAGUGUGUUCCCUGGACCAGCAGCUCAGCAUGACUUGGGAGCUUGUCAGAAGUGCAAAUUCUCCUGCCUCACCCCAGACCUCCUGAAUCAAAGACUGCGGGGUAGGGCCCAGCAUCUGUGUUUUAACAAGCCCUCCAGGUAUUUCUGCUGCACGCUCGAGUUUGAGAACCACACCCUGAAGUUGCAGUGCUUGGCCUCCAGUGCUGUGAACUGCUCUCAGUCCCCGCCACGGGGCUGCUGUCUUCCAAGAGGAGUGACGUGGGUGGUCUUGAGAGCUGGCACCAUCUUCAGAGUCACUCAAAUGAUACUUCUGUAGCCUUCAAUUACCUGUAGGAAUUGGGGGAACGGGAGGAAGUGUCAAGGAACAGCCCAGAGGAAGAAAAAAGACAACCUGGAGAAAAGGAUGCUUAGAAGGGCAAGGCUGCAGCUGGUGCGUGCAGCUCUUAAGUAGCAGGCUCUCAGCUCCUGCCAUGCAGGACGAUGAUGGAAAGGGGGCACUAAUGGGAAAGCAGUCUGACCCCAGCUUCAGGUGAAUUUGAUGGCGGGUCAAUUUGGGGAUAAUUGUGGUGUGCUGUCUGGAUUCUGCUGGGAGAGGGCAGAUGGGGACAGGAGCAGGGAUGGGUAGAGGGUAGAAGGGAGAGGAGUGGGGGACAGGGAGGGAGAGAGAUGCUGGGGAACAGGGGGCCCAGGCAGAGGCCCCUGCUCCAGGCCUGGAGUUUCCAGAAGACCAUCAUCAUUGUCCAGCCAUCCACAUUGUUCUUCUGGCUUCUGAGGCUGGAGACCAGGGGUGAGGAGCUUGGUGUGGCCCUCAAGGAGAGGCCUGUUCUCAUUUCAGCGGGUGUGGGUAUUAAGUUUGGUCCAUGUGCUGGCAGUGGGCAGGAUGGUCAGUGACCUCAAACUCAAAGUCUUCAGGCUCCGGGCAGAUAACAUAAGAGAGGAGCACAGCCUGGGAGGAAAUGCCAGGGCAGACACUGUCUCCUGGGGAUUGUGUGAACUGGAAAUACAGGCCCUGUCUAGACCGUUCAGCAGCCACCAGACUCCAGCCUGUUAGCACCCAGAAACGUCACUCCCUGCCACCAGGCUGAUCAAAUCCAGAUGGAGGUAUACAGCAGCAGGUCCUGCAAGAGAAGUUACAAGAAGCUCACAUACUGCCUGCGUGCCAGGGGCAGCUCUGUCUGGGCUGGCCGUGGGGAACGGGGCUUCGAAGGGUCCCAGACUCCAUUCUGCAGCGAUGCGGGGCAGCAAAGCAUUUUACAGUGAGGACCACCAUCGUCUGAUCCCUCUAAGAAUGGGUCUUGAAUUUCUGAUGCCAGUUUCUCCCUCAAGGGCCAGCGUAAUGCUGGGCGUCCUGCGUGCAUUCUUUCCAUAAGCCCCCUGCCUUCAGGAAUAUAAAAUGUUUAUCUUUUCUGCUUGACACAGCACAGCUGAGAACCAAAAAGUGAAAUAACCUGUGCUGAGUCAUCAGCCUGGAGGCGGGGGAUUGGAGGCAGGAAAAAUAAAUGUAGCAUCUCCCCCUGGGGGCUCCCGUCAAAGACUGUCGAAGGGAGGGUCCGACAGGUAGGGAGGAGAGGGGGGAGCUUAAGGAGCAGGACUCCCCGUGGUCUGUACUGGUCCAGGAACCCCUUUGGCUGUGGCCUUGAGCAGCAGCUGCAGCUCCUCUCACCUUUCCCUCCUCCAGAUGUCCUCAAACAUCCUAAUAUUUAUUUCUACUUGGGAACAGCAGCAAAUCAACAAAGGCAUGUCAAGGACGCCCUCACCUUCCUCUAUGAGGCUCCAAGCCCUAUUUCUGAUUUUCUAAUUGGAGCGAGUGAAUUCAACUCUGGGGCUGCUUUGAACUCUCGUCUCUGCCAAUUAACCCUCCCUGGGAAGGCUGAAGCGCCUCUUAGAAGUGGCAGCCCCGGAACGGAUGAAUUUCUGACUCAUUACCACCAUCACCACAAGGCAGGCUGGACAACUGAAGCCUAUCCGAAAUGAGGGAAUUUCACUGUUUAGUAACAAACUCAUUAGAAAGAAGGAGUUUUGUCGUUAUUUUUGUAAGAAAAAGAGGAACUAAAGCAGUUGGCUAAGAGAUCUUGGUUUUAAAAGUUGGGAAACCUGUGCCCUGACCCCAUCGUGUGCCUCAUCAGUGGACAGGCGAUUCGGCCUUUCUGGAUACUAGCCUCCUCAUCUGUAAACUGAGAAUUCCCUUCCAGAGAGGUGGCAAAGUACACAUCUGCAUCACCGCUCUCUCUGAAACCCACCAGAAUAAAUAAGGGCCAAAUCAAAGAAAAAAAUUCAACCAGGAUAUUACUAGGGGGUGACCACAAUCUCACACCACAGAUUCAGAACGCAUUCAUUCUCUCAUUCCUACUUCAUCCACUCAACAAAUAUGACAGAGUGUCGCUGAGGUGCCUGCACUGUCCUGGAUGCCAGGAGCUCUAGCAGUCAGAUGGAAAGAAAGGAGAGCACCAAGGUCUGACACCUUUUUCCUCUAAUUGGAAACAGGAGCAGAUUUAGAAAUGUAAAUAGGAGCGUUCACCGGGGCUAUGUAGUAAAGAAUUUAAUCUUGCGCAAAGAGAGGUCUGGUCUUUGCCCUCGGCUUCUGGGAGGUCAUCACUGAGCCCUUGGAAUGUCAUGCCUGAUAGGAAUGUUUGUGUUUGUCCAGGGGCCUUGGUCUCUCUAGAUAGUUUAACAAUGUGAUUUCGGGGAUGGGAUUUGGGUCAUGGGGUACCAGCACGACUUCCGGAGUUGCUGGAAACUGAGAUCAGUCCUGUGGGCAGUCAACCAUGCCUACGUGACAGAGCCCAAAUGAAAACUCUAGAUGCUGACGCUUGGGUGCGCAGCCCUGGUGGGCAGUACUCUGCGUGUGUUGUCACACAUCAUUAAGAGGAAAAGCAGCACCGUCCCCAAUGGCGCUGGGAGAGGAAACCGGAAGCUCUGUGCUGGAGCUCGCCUGAACUCUAUGCCCCUCCUCCUUUGGCUGAUCUUAAUCUGUAUCCCUUUGCUGUAAUAAACUGUAACUCUGAGUGUAAUACUUGUCAGUGGGUUCUGUGAGUCCUUUUAACGAAUCCUUGAACCCAAGGGUGAUUUUGGGGGACCCCCCAACUUGCAAUUGUUGUCGGAAGUGAGAGUGGUUUUAUGGACUACUGCUCCGUAAUGUUACAACCAUGGAUACGGACUAUGGGACAGUGGGCAGACGUAGAAGACAACGGGAAUGAGUUGCUGGGGGCCCAUUUUCAUGACAAAAGGCCAGGGAGGUGGGUCUGAAGGAGAAGCACAAGGCUGUUGUCCUGCAGUCUUGCUCAACUUCCUAACUGAGAACACCCUUCAGGAUGACUGGCUGGUCCCAAAGCGAG
ensembl:lncRNA